UCUGGUUUCCUCCAAUAUCUCA
rnacentral:miRNA from 1 species